CAAAUACUCCCUCCGUCUGGAAAUACUUGUCAUCAAAAUGGAUAAAAGGAAAUGUAUAUAGACAUAUUUUAGUUUUAGAUACAUCUAUUUUUAUCCAUAUUGAUGACAAGUAUUUUCGGACGGAGGGAGUAGAAA
rnacentral:pre_miRNA from 1 species